AGCUGGUGGCCCUGAGCUCGAGCUGCAGCCCUCCUUUCGGCCCAGAAGACAAAUGAAUGGCCCACGAUCCAUGCGACACGGCCUGGGGGAGAGAAGGAAAACAGAUCAUAACAGCCCCUUAUGCACCCAGCCCCCGGGGAUCCCCCCAAAGGCCCUUCACCAUCUUACUCCAAUAAACCCAAGCGCACAUAUGAACGGAACCGUACCGACUCCCAUCUC